UGGCUUUGUGCACACAGUGGUGUCACUCGGCAUGUGUUAGUUCAUCUGAACUGAACCAGCUGACGUUGUCCCUCCUACCUUCUCUUCUUUCUGCAGGCACUAGGACUUCGUCCCUCCUCUCCGCCCCAUUUCUGCUCCAGCCCCCAGUUCUCUAUCACUUGGGCACUGCAGCAUUGCCAACUGGCCUCUGUGGGCAGGAGGAUGAUGUAUGGUGGCUGUCAUGCUAUCGGCUUUCCCCGCGCAGCACAACAGCUGCCACUGGAAAAUUGAUCCUGGCCUGUUAUGACUGGAGAGGCCAGAAGACACGCGAAAUGCCCAAGCGGAGAUGGAGUGGGGGGACCAGAGGGGGCUGUCCUGGCGCCCACUGGGGUUAUGACAACCACUACUGAGACUUGCUCAUAAAUGAAGGGGGAGCUGUGACAGACUUGCUGAGCCCAGGCAGGAUUGGCCAGGGCAGCCACCUGAAUGAGCUGCCCCUUGGCAAUGGAAGAGAUGUUGUCUGGUUGCUUCUGCAUUUGGUGAAUUAGGAAGAGAAGGCCCUGAGGUCGCUGUGGGAAGAUUUCUGUUCAGCUACAAAUCAGCAAAGGUACCAAAGCCAGGGAAGAUGAUCUUCCCAUGAGGGUCCUCAAACUGAAAAGUAUCCCAUGAGUUUGUUGGUUUCUUCGGAUAUAUUCCCUACACCCAUAGCAGUGAUGGUUAACGC
rnacentral:lncRNA from 1 species